UGCUUUACCAGUGAUGGUGAAAAUAAAUGUCUGAACAAAUGAACUUUAUGUGAUAUCAGUAUUUACUCUGAGGUAAGCA
ensembl:snoRNA small nucleolar RNA SNORD72